rnacentral:rRNA from 1 species
UAGAUGUUUGAACUGAAGAGUUUGAUCAUGGCUCAGAUUGAACGCUGGCGGCAGGCCUAACACAUGCAAGUCGAGCGGCAGC